rnacentral:rRNA from 1 species
CCUACGGGGGGCUGCAGUGGGGAAUAUUGGACAAUGGGGGCAACCCUGAUCCAGCCAUGCCGCGUGUGUGAAGAAGGCCCUCGGGUUGUAAAGCACUUUCAGUGAGGAAGAACGCCUGGUGGUUAAUACCCAUCAGGAAAGACAUCACUCACAGAAGAAGCACCGGCUAACUCCGUGCCAGCAGCCGCGGUAAUACGGAGGGUGCGAGCGUUAAUCGGAAUUACUGGGCGUAAAGCGCGCGUAGGUGGCUUGAUAAGCCGGUUGUGAAAGCCCCGGGCUCAACCUGGGACCGGCAUCCGGAACUGUCAAGCUAGAGUGCAGGAGAGGAAGGUAGAAUUCCCGGUGUAGCGGUGAAAUGCGUAGAGAUCGGGAGGAAUACCAGUGGCGAAGGCGGCCUUCUGGACUGACACUGACACUGAGGUGCGAAAGCGUGGGUAGCAAACAGGAUUAGAUACCCUAGUAGUC